rnacentral:rRNA from 1 species
CCUACGGGAGGCAGCAGUGGGGGAUAUUGCACAAUGGGGGAAACCCUGAUGCAGCGACGCCGCGUGGGUGAAGAAGCGCCUCGGCGCGUAAAGCCCUGUCAGCAGGGAAGAAAAUGACGGUACCUGAAGAAGAAGCCCCGGCUAACUACGUGCCAGCAGCCGCGGUAAUACGUAGGGGGCAAGCGUUAUCCGGAUUUACUGGGUGUAAAGGGGGCGCAGACGGCGAUGCAAGCCAGGAGUGAAAGCCCGGGGCCCAACCCGGGGACUGCUCUUGGAACUGCGUGGCUAGAGUGCAGGAGGGGAAGGCGGAAUUGCUGGUGUAGCGGUGAAAUGCGUAGAUAUCAGGAGGAACACCGGGGGCGAAGGCGGCCUGCUGGACUGCAACUGACGUUGAGGCCCGAAAGCGUGGGGAGCAAACAGGAUUAGAUACCCGGGUAGUC